AGAUGGAAUAUGAGCCAAAUAAGUUAAGUCAGUGUAUGUUUUCAAGUCAUUUCUCACCUGUGUAUCAAUUAUUUCCAGAUCAUAGAGAUUUCCAUAAUGCAGACCUGCUUAUCUAUUAUCAUUUACUGAUCUUACUAUUUAAUUUGUUUCCAAAAAACCUAUAAAACUACGUCAUCUUCGAUCCGAGGGCGACAGUUGUAACCUACAUGUAGUGUG
rnacentral:misc_RNA from 1 species